rnacentral:rRNA from 1 species
UACGUAGGGGGCGAGCGUUGUCCGGAUUUAUUGGGCGUAAAGAGCGUGUAGGCGGCCAGGUAGGUCUGCUGUGAAACUCGAGGCUCAACCUCGAGACGUCGGCGGAAACCAUCUGGCUAGAGUCCGGAAGAGGAGAGUGGAAUUCCUGGUGUAGCGGUGAAAUGCGCAGAUAUCAGGAAGAACACCCGUGGCGAAGGCGGCUCUCUGGGACGGUACUGACGCUGAGACGCGAAAGCGUGGGGAGCGAACAGG